GAUGAACGCUAGCUACAGGCUUAACACAUGCAAGUCGAGGGGUAACAAGAGGAAAGCUUGCUUUUCUUGUUGACGACCGGCGCACGGGUGAGUAACGCGUAUCCAACCUGCCUAUAACUAGGGAAUAACCUUGCGAAAGUAAGACUAAUACCCUAUGAUUUCCUUUGAUGACAUCAGAUUAGGAAUAAAGAUUUAUCGGUUAUAGAUGGGGAUGCGUCUGAUUAGCUUGUUGGCGGGGUAACGGCCCACCAAGGCAACGAUCAGUAGGGGUUCUGAGAAGAAGGUCCCCCACAUUGGAACUGAGACACGGUCCAAACUCCUACGGGAGGCAGCAGUGAGGAAUAUUGGUCAAUGGGCGGGAGCCUGAACCAGCCAAGUAGCGUGCAGGAUGACGGCCCUAUGGGUUGUAAACUGCUUUUAUACAGGAAUAAAGUUAGCCACGUGUGGUUAUUUGUAGGUACUGUAUGAAUAAGGACCGGCUAAUUCCGUGCCAGCAGCCGCCGUAA
rnacentral:rRNA from 1 species